rnacentral:ncRNA from 1 species
UUUAGAUAGAGGUGCGUUUUUUAUCAUUAGCAUACGCCAUGACCGCAAGACAAAGCGGAGCGGCUUAUGUGAAAGGAAAGAACGCCGAAGCGUCGGUUUGUCACCGAAAGCUGGGCGCAGGGUUAAGAGCUUUGCGACUGUCACCGGACGCGUCCGGUGUUGAGCUAUC